AUUGAACGCUGGCGGCAUGCCUUACACAUGCAAGUCGAACGAGUGGCGGACGGGUGAGUAACAUAUCGGAACGUACCGAGCAGAGGGGGAUAACUAAGCGAAAGAUUAGCUACUACCGCACACUGUUUGAGCGGCCGAUGUCGGAUUAGCGUGUUGGUGGGGUAAAGGCAUACCAAGGGGACGAUCAGUAGCGGGCCUGAGAGGAUGAUCCGCCACACUGGGACUGAGACACGGCCCAGACUCCUACGGGAGGCAGCAGUGGGGAAUAUUGGACAAUGGGGGAAAGCCUGAUCCAGCCAUGCCGCGUGUGUGAAGAAGGUCUUCGGGUUGUAAAGGACUGUUGUCCGGGAAGCGGUACCGGAAGAAUAAGCACCGGCUAACUACGUGCCAGCAGCCGCGGUAAUAC
rnacentral:rRNA from 1 species